rnacentral:rRNA from 1 species
AGUGAGCGCUGGCGGUAGGCCUAACACAUGCAAGUCGAACGGCAGCACAGGAGAGCUUGCUCUCUGGGUGGCGAGUGGCGGACGGGUGAGGAAUACAUCGGAAUCUACUUUUUCGUGGGGAUAACGUAGGGAAACUUACGCUAAUACCGCAUACGACCUACGGGUGAAAGCAGGGGACCUUCGGGCCUUGCGCGAUUGAAUGAGCCGAUGUCGGAUUAGCUAGUUGGCGGGGUAAAGGCCCACCAAGGCGACGAUCCGUAGCUGGUCUGAGAGGUUGAUCAGCCACGCUGGAACUGAGACACGGUCCAGACUCCUACGGGAGGCAGCAGUGGGGAAUAUUGGACAAUGGGCGCAAGCCUGAUCCAGCCAUACCGCGUGGGUGAAGAAGGCCUUCGGGUUGUAAAGCCCUUUUGUUGGGAAAGAAAUCCAGCUGGCUAAUACCCGGUUGGGAUGACGGUACCCAAAGAAUAAGCACCGGCUAACUUCGUGCCAGCCGCCGCAGUAA